GAUGAACGCUGGCGGCGUGCUUAACACAUGCAAGUCGAACGGAAAGGCCCAAGCUUGCUUGGGUACUCGAGUGGCGAACGGGUGAGUAACACGUGGGUGAUCUGCCCUGCACUUCGGGAUAAGCCGGGGAAACGGGGUCUAAUACUGGAUAGGACCACUUCUUGGAUGGUGUGGUGGAAAGUUUUUUCGGUGUGGCAUGAGCUCGCGGCCUAUCAGCUUGUUGGUGGGGUAAUGGCCUACCAAGGCGUCGACGGGUAGCCGGCCUGAGAGGGUGUACGGCCACAUUGGGACUGAGAUACGGCCCAGACUCCUACGGGAGGCAGCAGUGGGGAAUAUUGCACAAUGGGCGCAAGCCUGAUGCAGCGACGCCGCGUGGGGGAUGACGGCCUUCGGGUUGUAAACUCCUUUCGCUAGGGACGAAGCGUUUUUGUGACGGUACCUGGAGAAGAAGCACCGGCUAACUACGUG
rnacentral:rRNA from 1 species